rnacentral:rRNA from 1 species
CUUGAUAGCCUUUUACAUCCGCUAUCCGCCCGGGUACUACGAGCACUAGCUUAAAACCCAAAGGACUUGGCGGUACUUUAGACCCACCUAGAGGAGCCUGUUCUAGAACCGAUAACCCCCGUUAAACCUCACCCUCUCUUGUUCUUCCCGCCUAUAUACCGCCGUCGUCAGCUUACCCUGUGAAGGCCCUAUAGUAAGCAAAACCAGUACAACUUAAAACGUCAGGUCGAGGUGUAGCAUACGAGAGGGGAAGAAAUGGGCUACAUUCCCUGCUACAGGGAAUACGAACAAUGUAAUGAAAUAUACAUUAGAAGGAGGAUUUAGCAGUAAGCAGAAAAUAGAGUG